rnacentral:rRNA from 1 species
UACGGGGGGGGCAAGCGUUGUUCGGAAUUACUGGGCGUAAAGGGUCUGUAGGUGGCCAAUUAAGUCAGACGUGAAAUCCCUCAGCUUAACUGGGGAACUGCGUCUGAGACUGGAUGGCUCGAGUGCAGGAGAGGAAUGCGGAAUUCCAGGUGUAGCGGUGAAAUGCGUAGAUAUCUGGAGGAACACCGGUGGCGAAGGCGGCAUUCUGGACUGCAACUGACACUGAAAGACGAAAGCCAGGGGAGCAAACGGG